GAUGAAGAACGUAGCGAAAUGCGAUAAGUAAUGUGAAUUGCAGAAUUCAGUGAAUCAUCGAAUCUUUGAACGCACAUUGCGCCCGUUAGCAUUCUAGCGGGCAUGCCUGUCCGAGCGUCAUUUCAACCCUCAGGGCCCCCGUUCCGGCGGGGAACCUGGUGUUGGGGAUCGGCCCGCCCCGUGCGGCGCCGUCCCCCAAAUUCAGUGGCGGUCUCGCUGCAGCCUCCCCUGCGUAGUAGUUACAACCUCGCAUCGGAGCUCAGCGCGGCCACGCCGUAAAACCCCCGACUUUCUGAACGUUGACCUCGGAUCAGGUAGGAAUACCCGCUGAACUUAAGCAUAUCAAUAAGCGGAGGA
rnacentral:misc_RNA from 1 species